rfam:Triticum aestivum genome assembly, contig: Triticum_aestivum_CS42_TGACv1_scaffold_543803_6DS
AUACCUUUCUCGGCCUUUUGACUAAGAUCAAGUAUCUGUUCUUAUCAAUUUAAUAUCUGAUAUGUGUGUCAUGUGCUUACAAUGAUAUUAAAUUUAUUUUUUAUGAGGGAGGGUUCACUCAUGGCUUGCCACUGGGGCCUUGGGUGUUGCCUGGGCGUUGCACUACAGCCCGGCAGGCGCACCCCAA